UACGGAGGGGGCUAGCGUUGUUCGGAAUUACUGGGCAUAAAGCGCACGUAGGCGGCUUUGUAAGUUAGAGGUGAAAGCCCAGGGCUUAACCCUGGAAUUGCCUUUAAGACUGCAUCGCUAGAAUCGUGGAGAGGUGAGUGGAAUUCCGAGUGUAGAGGUGAAAUUCGUAGAUAUUCGGAAGAACACCAGUGGCGAAGGCGACUCACUGGACACGUAUUGACGCUGAGGUGCGAAAGCGUGGGGAGCAAACAGG
rnacentral:rRNA from 1 species